AUGUUUUCUGUAGCUCUUCUCCUGCUGUUGGCAGCUGGAUGUGUGAAGUGUGAACAGCUGACACAGCCAGCCUCCAUGUCAGUGCAGCCGGGUCAACGACUGACCAUCAACUGUCAGGUCUCUUAUUCGCUUGGCGGCUACUACACGCACUGGAUCCGGCAACCUGCAGGGAAAGCACUGGAGUGGUUCAGUAGGGACAGUGAUGUCAAAGAUUCACUAAAGAGCAAGUUCAGUGUUAAAUUAGACUCUUCGAGCAACACAGUGACUUUAACAGGCCAAAAUUUGCAGCCUGAAGACACUGCUGUGUAUUACUGUGCCAGAGAGCCACAGUGA